rnacentral:rRNA from 1 species
UACGUAGGGUGCAAGCGUUGUCCGGAAUUACUGGGCGUAAAGGGCUCGUAGGUGGCCAACUAAGUCAGACGUGAAAUCCCUCAGCUUAACUGGGGAACUGCGUCUGAUACUGGAUGGCUUGAGUUUGGGAGAGGGAUGCGGAAUUCCAGGUGUAGCGGUGAAAUGCGUAGAUAUCUGGAGGAACACCGGUGGCGAAGGCGGCAUCCUGGACCGGCAUUGACGCUGAUGAGCGAAAGCCAGGGGAGCAAACGGG